GCCGACGUAGCUCAGUUGGUAGAGCAGUCGAUUCGUAAUCGACAGGUCAUCGGUUCAAGUCCGAUCGUCGGCUCCA
rnacentral:tRNA from 5 species